UUCAGUUCAGCUCUCAGUCUGGCGCUGAAGCCGACCGGCCCCGGAAGACUUCGAAAGGGCUCGCGGAGAAGCCCUGCCUGCGGACUUCUCCAGCCCCCUGAGCCUGGGAACAGCCGACCUGCUGCAUUUCGGGGGCCGCGGGGCUCCCCAAGCUGCGAGCUCUUCUCACAGAAGAGUCCGUCUCUAUGGAGACUCGGCUGCUACAAGUUUGCGGGGCUCCACUGAGUUCUCAGUGGCUGAGCGGGUCUCUCCCUCCCCUCGCACCCCUGCUGCCUACCUCCUGUCCCUCGUCCCUUGCCCCCCCCCCCCCCGCCGUUGCCAUAGCGACCACCUGCGGUGGAGGGAUUGGCGAAUUCGGCGUUCCAGAAGCCGGCGCAGACAAAAGGCAGGAUUCUGCUCGGCUCGCAGGCCCGUCCCCGUCGCCAUGGUUACCACCACGGAGCUUUGUCUGCCCCGUCUCUGCAGAUUUCGGUCCCAAGGCUUUUCCCCGCCCCAGGAAGGAAAGUUCUCGGAUUUGCUGUCGAGUCCGAUGUUCUUCAAGAUAACUUUCUGGAAUGGACUUGCAUCUAGAGAGUAGUAGCCAGCAAGAUGACUGGGUAUAGAGAAGGAAGCUUUUAUCUAUAAGAAAAUGUACCAGCAAGGAGACCAGCCAAGAUGAUGGAGUAGGAGGAAACUAUUAAACUCAGCUCUGGGCAACACUCUGCCCUUUUCCUGAACUACCUACCUCAAUCCCCAGCUGAACCCCAGGGUGUAGGUUCUACAUGGCUAACACUGAUCCCAAUCCCUUGAGAGGGAGAGAGGACCUUGAACUCAUCCUCUGUGGCAAAGAAAAGGACUGAAGCAUGGUUACCUUGAUCCUGCUCAAGGGAGGAAGGAGGACUCUAAGACAUCACCUAGGCAGGGAGUAAGCUAUCAGUAUGGUCCCUCAAAUGUCAAUCCCUGCAUGUUUCAAAGGAUCAAAGACUCAUUCCCAGAUGAGAAUCAGGGACUCACAUUUUCUAGAAGAGAAGGGAUUCAGCCAACACUCAAAUAGCAGGACCUCAGCAAAGUCAUUUUGAUUAAUAAUAAUAAUAAUAAUAAUAAUAAAAGAUGCCAGGAAUGCCCAAAACAUAAAAGCAAAGCCUCAAAGAAAAAUACAGAUUUCCCACAAGAUCAAUGAGAAUUCCAAGAAGGAAUGAUGUAAUUUUUUUAAAGAGUGUAAAAUAAUAUUAUGAAUAAAAGGAGAGUAAUGGGGGAAAAGAAUUGAAAAAAAAGAGAAGAAACUUAUCAAAAUUAUAGAGAGAUUUAGAAAAUUAAUAAUUUAACACAAGAGGUUACUUUAUCCAGAUAACUAACACUCUGAAAAUUAGAAUGGACUAAGUAAUUCAUUAGAAAAUAAAGACUUUUAAAAGUCAAAAGAUAAGGGCCAGCUAGGUGGGCAGUGGAUAGAACAGCAGCCCUGAAGUCAGGAGAACCUGAGUUCAAAUCUGGUCUCUAGACACUUAACACUUCCCAGCUGUGUGACCCUGGGAAAGUCACUUAACCCCAAUUGCCUCAGCAAAAAAACCAAAACAAAACAAAAACAAAAAAAACAAAACAAAAACAAAAACAAAAAAAGUAAGACAUCUAUCAAAAAGCACUGAGCUGGAAAACAGAUGGAAGAAAAAGAAGUUAGUAGUCACUGGACCACGCCAAUGAUUGAAAGACCAAAUGCCAAGAUAAAAAAGAAAGAAAUACUAUAUUUUUAAAAUAAUGAAAGAAAAUUCCCCAGAUAUAUAAAAAGAUGGACACUCCAAAAUAGAAAGUAUCCACUAGUCAUCUCCUAAAAACAAAUUAAAAUAAAAAUAUUGAAUGAUAUAGCCAAAAUCCAGAACUUCCAGGUUAAAAAAAAAGUAUUACAAGAAAUCAGAGUGAAAGCAUUCAAGUAUGAAGGAAUCACAGGAUCACACACAAAAAUAUGUAGAUGUGGAGGGAAUGGAAAAAAUUCCAAAAGGCAAAAGAAUCAAUAAUAGUUAACUAGGAAAAAAAUUAAUCUCACAGAGGGAAAAAAUGAAACUUCAGUGAAAUAAAGGAUAUUCAAGUGUUCCUGAUGAAAAUACCAGAGCUGAACAGAAACUUUGAAAAACAAAUACAGCAAUCAAAAGAAACAUAAAAAGGUAAAUGGGAAUAAUCAAAAUGGACUUAUAAGAAUGAGCUUUUUACAUUCCAAUUAAGAAGAUGAUACAAGGAUCUCCUUAGGACUCUAAUAUCAUAAAGGUUUAUAGAGGGAGUCAAAUAAGAGGGCCUGAAAGUACUUUUCUUAUGUUUUGAUUAUCUUGAGGAAAAAAAGGGAGGAUAAAGAACACACUAAGAGCAAAGGGGGAGUAGAAUCUAUUAUUUCACAUAAUUAGUGAUGUGGCUGAUGUAGCAUUGGAUGUUAUUUAGGUACCAGAUGAUGAUAGGCAGCAAAAGUUAGGCUUUGGUUACAUGAAGAGUUCAUAAUGGCCACUUUCUUUGUCAAAAGAUAGAUUUAUUUUAAAAAGGUUACAGACAAAGUGGAGGGAUGCAAUAGAUACCAGGAAUGGUAAAUAUGAAAUAGAGUUGGGAGAGCAUAGAAAAGGGCUUUAAUAAUUAAUGGUGGAAAUGGCAAAUUCUCUAAUGGAAUUUGCCAUUUACCAGGAGAAAGAGAGCACCCCAUGAGGUUGGGGCUUUCCCUUAGCUAGCUGGCAGAAUAAAUCCUGAAAGGGCCUUGGCACCCUAAAAGAGUUAGUCAUGAGAAGUGUGGUCAGAAAGCAUAGUGGAAUUAAGAGACAGACCAAGUGGCAUGGGGGAAGGGGAAUGAGAUUGUUGUGAUGGACUCAAGGAGAUUCUGUGCCAAUGGCAUGGGCCAUAAGCAGAUUUAUAGGGAACAUUUAGCCUCAGGGAAUUGAUAUAACAUGGGUUUCUGCCCGGAUUACCUCCGAAGAAGGUGAGACCACAGAGCUGAACUGAUCUCUAUCAGAGCCCUCUUCCUGCCUGCCCGAGGCAACAACUUUUUCAGUGCUUCAGUUUCUAUCAACCACAUCCACCAUUCAGGACCCCCUCAAUCAAUUAGAUUGUCUGUAUAACUUGGAAAGGGAUAAGGGGAUCUGGGCUUAUUUGAACACUCCACUUUCAUCUCUACCAUGGAACACACUUUAAAGAAAAGUGGAACACAGUUUGAUAUAGAAAUACAUACAACUGAACAGGGAAACAGGAGAGAACAACAAAAUAAUGGAAAGGAGUGGGGAUAAGAGUAAGGGUAGCAGUGGGAAAGAAUUAAUCCUAAGGAAAAAUAAAUGCUCAACUUGGAGAGGAGAUAGCAAAAAAGAGGCUAAAGGGAAAGAAAUAGGGGAGAUCUGUAAUAAAGAAGGGACCAGUACCAAAGCAUAGAAAAAGUGCAAGAAUAGUACAGAGAGUAAUACACAAUGACCAUGAUUAUGAAUGUGAAUAAGAUGAAGUCAAGUAUAAAAUGGAAGCAGAUGGUCCAACAGAUUAGGAAGCACAAUCCAGCAAUGAUGUUUGCAAGAAACAUGAGGAUAAAUUCCUCCAGAAGUAAAGUGUGAGAUUGGAGCAAAAUACCUUAGCUAAACUAAAACAAACAAAAAACAGUGGUAGUAUGAUUAAAGACAAGGCAACAGACAAAACAAAAUUAAUUAAAAGAGACAAACAGGGAAACGACAUUUUGUUGAAAACUACUAUAGGAGAUAGUGUUAAUACUCAUAUAUGCACAAUGGCAUAGCUUCUAAACACUUAAAGGAACAGCUAAACAAAACAGCUAGUUGACAGUGCAUGAAGCACUGGACUCAGAGUCAGGAAGACCCAAGUUCAAAUCCAGAUUCAGACACUAGCUUUGUGGCCUUCGACAAGUCAUUUUACUGCUUCAAUUUCCUCAACAGUAAAAUGAGGAUAAUACUAGCACCUUCCUCCCAGGGUUAUUAUGAGGAUUAAAUGAGAUAAGAUUUGUAAAGCACUUAUCACAGUGCUUGGCACAUAGCAGAUUCUUAAUAAAUGCUUGUUCCCUAAUCCCUACUCCCUACCACCACAUGUAAUGCUGGAGAAACUGAGACAGGAGAGAGAUUAGAGUUUUUAAUAUUUUAUUAAUGGGAGAGUAAGAUUGACUGGACAGGACUCUCAUCUCAAAUGAUCCAGUCAGACAGAGAUAAAGAUAUACUGGGGCCAAGGAAUCCAUGUUGGUCCCAGGGCUGGAGGAGACUGUCAUCCCAAAGAAUCCAGCCUCCAGCAUCCAGCCGCCAGCAAUGAAUGGAGGAACCCCAACUUCUUAAAUACCUUUUCUCUAAACAAAGGAAGGGGUAAGAAGCACAGGAAAACUUCUGUCAGAAUAGGGGAGGUCAUAAAUCCUAAAAACCCAGAGACAGGCUGUAUGCAUACACAGAAAUAGAUAUCAGUGAGGUAUCUUGGAAUAUUUUAGAGGGAUAUUGUAAAUUCUUGAGGAGAAAAGAGUCAGGAGGUCUACUCUCUUGUUUAUUUUGCUAACAAUUUAUAACCUUAGAGCAAAUGGUCCUCAGUCUUAAUGGACCAGAAGGGGGAGUUUACUUAGGGGAUUGAGACAGAACAGUUAAAGAAACUGAGACAAGGGAAACUAGUACAGGGAAACUGAGUCAGGACAGUUAAAGAGAACUGUGGCAUAACACACAUAGCCACAAUAAAUUAUUGGGAGAAAUAGUAAAAUUGCAUAAAUUGGAGAGUUCAAAAUACCCCUUUCAUAGUUAGGCAAACCUAAUCAUAAAAAGAAUAACUUGAAUCUUAGAAAAAUUAUGACAGGAUAAAGCUCUGGUAACUGGUGAGGUGAUAACAUGAUCAUAAUGGUUAAUGACACAAAGAAAUUAUGUCAUAUACAUUUAUCACAGGAAACAAAGAUUUGCAAGGCAGAGUCAUAGGUGGUUAAGCCUCAUAUUUUUGAGGGGAAUAACUUUUAAAGUCUCGAGGUGGGGCAGGGAGAGGAGGAACAGGGGCCUGAUCUAGGGAGUAAGAGGAGUAGUAUAGAGGAGUUGGGGAGAGGCCAGGGAGGAAUCAAAGAGGAUCAGGCUCCAAACUCAUCUAAAGACAUGCUAAUCAAGGCAGUCCCAGAGGUUGGAGACUUGGAUGGAUGGAUGAACAAUGGACUCCAGCUUCACAUCAUUCUAUGCUAACAAGACAAUAAGAAAACUGACCUGAUCAUGAUUAAUACUAAGAACAAGAUGGACUCAUUUUUAGCAAUUCCUGAGAAUAAGCUGAUUUAAAGUUCUCAUCAAUUGGGAAUAGAAAGAAAUAGAAAAUAGAAAAGAAUAACAUCACAAAAAUCAGCUAAGUAUUAGGGCAUAAAAAUCUCACAGAAAUGCACAAAAGUACAAAUAAUAAACAACCUUUCUGAGUACAAUGCAGUAAAAUCAUAUUCAAUAACAGACUAUUAUUAUUAUAUAUUAAGAUUAAAAGAUUAUAUAUUAAGAUUAAACAUUAACUGAAGAACAAAUAACAAUCCUAAAGAAUUAGUUGAAGAAAAAAAUCAUAAAAAUAAAAGCUAGAGAACCAAUAAAAUAAAAAACCCCAAGUUAAAAACCAAAAUCAAAGAGAUUAAUAAAAUUAUAAGCAAAAAAUGAAUGUUAAUAAAACUAAGAAAUUUUUUUGAAAAAUGAAUCAUUAGCUAAUUUGAUUAAAAAGAUUAGCAUUAUUAAAAAUGAGAAUCUACAACAAAUGAAGAAAUAAAAAAUAACAUUGGAAACUAUUUUGCCCAAUAAUUCCAAUAAAUCUAACAAGUUUAGUACUGAGAAAAGUAUAGAUACAAUUAACAACAAAAAUUGUAUGCUUAUAUUGAUAUGGACAAAAAUCUUUGUUAAAAAUCAAUAAUAAGCAGCCUUUAACAUGUUGAAUAGUAUAUAUCUAAAACUAAGAUCCAACAUCAUAUAUCUAUAUAUGUCUAUAAUGAAGAUACAUUGACUCCUUUCCAAUACACAUGGGUAAGGCAAGAAUGCUCACUAUCACCAUUAUGAUGCAAUAUACUAGAAAUGCUAGUUAUAACAGUUAAGACAAAAACAAAAAAAUUGAGGGAAUAAAAGUAUAGGCAAAGAAAAAACAAAAUUAAGAUUUUUUUGCAAAUAAUAUGAUAAUGUAGUUAAAGAACCCUAGAAAAUCAAUGAAAAAUUAAUUUGAAAUAAUAACUUCUGCAAAGCUGCAAGAAAUAAAAUCAAUCCAUAUCAUCAUCAUUGGUAACAUAUAGAAAUGGACCAGCAGUUCUGUUUGUUAGUAAAAAAAAAAAUCAUAGCAUAAAGAGAAAUGCUAUAUGAAAAUGUAAAAAAAAAAAAAAAAAACUUGGGAGUCAAAAAUGUAUGACUAUAAUUAUAAAUCACUUUACAAAAUUCAAGAUAAUUGGAGAAGUAUUCAUUGCUCAUGCAUACUUGCAGGGGUCUUCAAACUAUGGCCCGGGCCAGAUGCGGCAGCUGAGGACAUUUAUCCCCCUCACCCAGGGCUAUGAAGUUUCUUUAUUUAAAGGCCCACAAAACAAAAUUUUUGUUUUUAACUAUAGUCCGGCCCUCCAACAGUCUGAGGGACAGUGAACUGGCCCCCUAUUUUAAAAGUUUGAGUAUUUAUUACAUUGAGGACUAAUGCAGUAAAAUGACUACAAAAUAAAUUAAUAUUCAAUGCCAUACCAAGCAAACUAUCAACAGAUUACUUUAUAGAGCUAUAAAAAAUACUGAAAAUGAGCUGAAGGAACAAAUUAUAAUGAAUCUCAAGGGAAGGACAGAGUCAAAAUCGAAGCAAUGCAGUGAACUACUCUCUUUAUACUCCUGUUAAAGAUAUGAAAAAUGCAUACAAUUGAGUAAUAAAGGGAAAGUCCAGAAAAAGUCAUAGCAAGUUAUUUGUCCAACCCAUCUUGGGUUAGGAAGCCAGAAAGGGAACUCUUCAGACAUUGGAGACAGGGUUGGAGCACCUUCUGGGAAGCACUAUGACAAACAAGGAGAAACUUUGCAUUAGGUCAAGAGGAGGUCUCAGACCCAUGCCAACGUGCUAUGAUGGACACAGCUUCCUGACAGCUUUGUGCCCACUCACUAGUCUUGGGUUGCAGAUCCAGAGCAGAGUGAAAAGGGAACAUGUUCACAGCAGUGGCAUUCCUGGGUAAGGAAGUUCUUGUGAAUGUGUGAGAGAGGAAGUUCAGAAGCCAAGGGCAACACCAAACAGCAGUGUGGGGCUCAGGCCACAGCUGUGGAGCAGGGCCUCAUUUCCAUCAUCUAGCUCACCUAACAUAGGUAUAACUGGGGUAGGAAUCCUAGAUCUAAGGGGAGCCUGCAACUUUGAACUAACAGAAUUUUCCAGCUGAUUGAUGGGGCCUGAGUAUGGCAACAGUCUAUUAUUUUUGCCUAGACCCAAACCCAGAGCAAGAGCUUGCACCAGAAGGGCAGCAAUCAGGCUUUGCCUUGGAUCAGCUCACUUGGAAAGCACUGAAAGCUUGCAGGUCCCCCACUUGUCCUCAAAAUCUGAGAAUAACACUACAUAAUACCCCUAAGAAAGCAACAGGAUCAGUCCAGACCUUCCCUCCAGAAUGUUGCAGAGCCCAGUCCUAAGACUGAAUCCAAUGUAAGAAAGUAGGCUGGAAGAAUAGACAAACACAAAAAGAACUCACUAUAAUGACUUAUUAUUUUGGCAAGAAUUUUCACAACAUAGACUCAGAAGGGAAUGACUCCGAAACACUUAUAAGAAAAGCCUCAGAGAAAAACACAGCUUUGCAACAAACUCAAUUAGAAUUCCUGGAAGAGAUAAAGCAAACUUUAAAAAAAGUUAAUUUUUAAAUAAAUGGAAUGAGAAUGCUUGAAGGGAAAAGUGGGAAAAUGAAAGGUAUGGAAGAAAGAACUAGAAAGGGCAUUAGCAGCAGAGUACAAUGGCACAAAACCUUGUGCAAGCAACAAACUCCCCAAAAUUAGAAUGGGCCAAAUAGAAGCCAAUAAUUCCAUGAGGCAACAAGAAAUAUUAAAAUAAAGUCACAAAGCUGGAAAAAAAUAGAAGAAAAUGUAUAUUAUAGCAAAAACAGCUGACCUGGAAAACAGGUUAAGGGAGGGAAUUUUAAUUUUCUGAACUAUCUGAAUAUUGUGAGCAAAUGAAGGGCCUAGACAUCCUAUUUCUAGAAAUCUUUAAAAAUUUCUUAGAGCUUGAGAGCAAAGGAAAAAUAGAAAGAAUACACCUUCACAUCCUGAAAGAAACCCUCAAAUGAAAAUUCCCAGGAACAUUAUAGCCAAAAUCCAGAGUUUUCAGGUAAAAAAAAUGCUGUUAGAAGCCAGAAGGAAAGAAUUCAAAUACUAAGUCAGGAUCACCUAUGAUUUAGCAGCCACCACUCUAAAGGGAUAUGAUAUUUCAAAUAUCCAGAAUACAAAUGAUUAUGGUCAAGAAUAACUUGCCCAGAAAAACCGAAUAUAAUGCAAAUGGGUGGGAGGAGGUGGACCCUUAAUAAGACAGAGGACUUUUAAGCAUUCCUAAUGAAAAGACCAGAGCUAAAAAUUUUGAAGUGCAAACAUGAGAAGAGAAAUAUAAAAAGGCAAAUACCAAUGAACAAUUAUAAGGGAUAAGAUAAACUGCUUAUAUUCAAAUAUGGAGAGA